AUUGCUUCUCAGCCUUAUGGCUAAGAUCAAGUGUAGUAUCUGUUCCUAUCAGUCUAAAACUGGGGGCAUAUUAAUGAUUCAAUCAAUACAGAAAUAUUGUUACAUUGUGUAGGUGUCCAAACCUUC
ensembl:snRNA U2 U2 spliceosomal RNA